AUGAACGCUAGCUACAGGCUUAACACAUGCAAGUCGAGGGGCAGCAUGGUCUUAGCUUGCUAAGGCCGAUGGCGACCGGCGCACGGGUGAGUAACACGUAUCCAACCUGCCGUCUACUCUUGGACAGCCUUCUGAAAGGAAGAUUAAUACAAGAUGGCAUCAUGAGUCCGCAUGUUCACAUGAUUAAAGGUAUUCCGGUAGACGAUGGGGAUGCGUUCCAUUAGAUAGUAGGCGGGGUAACGGCCCACCUAGUCUUCGAUGGAUAGGGGUUCUGAGAGGAAGGUCCCCCACAUUGGAACUGAGACACGGUCCAAACUCCUACGGGAGGCAGCAGUGAGGAAUAUUGGUCAAUGGGCGAGAGCCUGAACCAGCCAAGUAGCGUGAAGGAUGACUGCCCUAUGGGUUGUAAACUUCUUUUAUAAAGGAAUAAAGUCGGGUAUGGAUACCCGUUUGCAUGUACUUUAUGAAUAAGGAUCGGCUAACUCCGUGCCAGCAGCCGCGGUAAUACGGAGGAUCCGAGCGUUAUCCGGAUUUAUUGGGUUUAAAGGGAGCGUAGAUGGAUGUUUAAGUCAGUUGUGAAAGUUUGCGGCUCAACCGUAAAAUUGCAGUUGAUACUGGAUAUCUUGAGUGCAGUUGAGGCAGGCGGAAUUCGUGGUGUAGCGGUGAAAUGCUUAGAUAUCACGAAGAACUCCGAUUGUGAAGGCAGCCUGCUAAGCUGCAACUGACAUUGAGGCUCGAAAGUGUGGGUAUCAAACAGGAUUAGAUACCCUGGUAGUCCACACGGUAAACGAUGAAUACUCGCUGUUUGCGAUAUACAGCAAGCGGCCAAGCGAAAGCGUUAAGUAUUCCACCUGGGGAGUACGCCGGCAACGGUGAAACUCAAAGGAAUUGACGGGGGCCCGCACAAGCGGAGGAACAUGUGGUUUAAUUCGAUGAUACGCGAGGAACCUUACCCGGGCUUAAAUUGCAGAUGAAUUACGGUGAAAGCCGUAAGCCGCAAGGCAUCUGUGAAGGUGCUGCAUGGUUGUCGUCAGCUCGUGCCGUGAGGUGUCGGCUUAAGUGCCAUAACGAGCGCAACCCUUGUUGUCAGUUACUAACAGGUUCCGCUGAGGACUCUGACAAGACUGCCAUCGUAAGAUGUGAGGAAGGUGGGGAUGACGUCAAAUCAGCACGGCCCUUACGUCCGGGGCUACACACGUGUUACAAUGGGGGGUACAGAGGGCCGCUACCACGCGAGUGGAUGCCAAUCCCCAAAACCUCUCUCAGUUCGGACUGGAGUCUGCAACCCGACUCCACGAAGCUGGAUUCGCUAGUAAUCGCGCAUCAGCCACGGCGCGGUGAAUACGUUCCCGGGCCUUGUACACACCGCCCGUCAAGCCAUGGGAGCCGGGGGUACCUGAAGUGCGUAACCGCGAGGAGCGCCCUAGGGUAAAACUGGUGACUGGGGCU
rnacentral:rRNA from 1 species